rnacentral:lncRNA from 1 species
GCACUCACGUUCACCUGGGGGAGCAAGGAGAGGGAGGAUUAGGGAUCGAAUCUCGUGGCGGCCGUGGGAAGGAAGAGAGCUGCCACCAAUACUUGCAGCCAGCGCUGCCGCGCCGUCUAUGUGGGAGCCGUGUGUUCCGCCUGAGCUCGUGCUUGCGGUGGAUGCACUCAUAGGCAAGACCGAGGGAGGGACGGUGUCUAAUUUCUCGUCGUCGACCGCCCUGUGUCACGAUUCCGUCGUGAGCCACGGGCAAACGUCUCCGGGCGCCGAUUACCGGUGAGUUACCCUCCUGUGGAAUCCCAUUGCUAUCAGCUACGUUUAGGUGUUGCUCGCGGGGGGGGGGGGGGGGGUUGCUCGAACUCCGGGGUGGGGUUCGCCGUUGAGGGCGCCGCCGCAGUGGGGACCUACCACCGGUUGAUAUGGGCGAUGGAAGAAGAAGCGGCACCAACCGUUGGAUGAGCUAUGGGCGUUCGAGAUUAGAUCUAGGUGGCGCUUUGCUCAGGGGAUGAUCGUGUACGGGUGGGCAGAUCAACGACUAUGGGAGUUUAUGACUUUGUUUUCAUCGUAGCCAUAGGAUAGUGAUCGUGCGGUUUGGGUCGCUCACCUAUUCGGUUUAGCCACCAUGUAAUCCAGACCGUCGGAUCAAGAUCUAAUGGCCGAUCUCGCCCCGUACCGCUUCGGCAGUGGUAUUUUUCUAAAGAGCCCCUGGAACCUUUAUAAAUCAACCUGCAGUCCUCGGAUCAUGUUCACUGAGUCUUAGGAAGCUUGCGCAGAGGCCCCUGUCUUCUUUGGAAAUUGAGGCGCAGUCUAGACAGUGAGAAAAACCUAUAAAAUUAUUACAAAAUGAAUUUUUAAUAUGAAAACGAUUCCUAGAAGUUGUGUAAUUCAUAGAAAAUUCAUAUUAAGUCCAAAUUAAUUCAUUCCAGUUUCUAUAAUUUUGUAAUAUGAUUGUUUAUCAUCUAGUGUCUCUGUUGUGACAUGAAAGCCACAAUAAAAUUGAUCUCCUAAUUAAUUUUGUAUCAAAUACAUAAAACCUUUGGAAAUUCAUAACUUCCCCAUUUUAAUUCCGAUAUGACCCGUUCGAGUUGUGUUAGCUUCGUAUAAAUAUUUACUACGCAGUAACAACAUUAAAUAUACCAUGUCGCAUACUUUAUUAUUUAUUUAUCCUAUGACUACUAAAUUAGCUCUUCUAAAUCAAAUCUAACCAGACCAUAAUUAUAAUUUGAUUAAAAGAUGAUCUCUAGUCAAGAUAAUUAAAACUAAAGUUGAGUUCAUUACCUAUAGAAUCUUCUCUCAUAUGAUGUAUACUAAUCAAUUUAUAAUAGAGUUUAAUAUUUAAAUCACGUAGAUCUUCCUUAAAUCAUAACUCCGUAACCGUAACCCCAAUCUUAUUGAUUCUCGUUCCCACGAUCUCGUAGCAACGUGUAGAUUAUUAUUAUGCAGUUUGUUCUCAUGUUUGGUGUGAUGUUAAUUUUGGCUAUACCAUGUUUGACUGGAUUGCUACGACUAGCAGUGAGAUCACGAGGAUCUGAAGAAUCAUCCUAGUACCUGGAAUCUCAAAUGGCAGGCAAGUUGUGCCCUUGAUCACUUCCUUUUUACCCAGUCAUGUUCUUAUUAAUCAUAAUGAUCUGCAUAGGUUAAUUUUGAUGGGACCCUUUAGGUUACCCUAGUUUGAUUAUCUUUAUACCUUGACUACACUGAACUUUUUGGGUAGUACUUGCUAUUGCUUUAUGUGGAUUUGGGUAUGGAGAUACAUUAUUCAUGAUGACACUUUUAUUAUCAGUUUAUUAUUUGUCGGGGACCAUAAUUAGGGGUACCCUCAAGACUCCUAAUUCUCAGCUGGUAACCCCCAUCAGCACAAAGCUGCAAAGGCCUGAUGGGUGCGACUAAGUCACGGAUCGGUCCAUUCGAGGGACUCGAUCACCCCUCGCCCGAGCCCAGCCUCGGGCAAGGGCAGCCGACCCCGGAGGAUCUACGUCUCGCCCGAGGCCCCCCUCCAGCGACGAACAUACUUCUGGCUCGCCCGAGGCCCAGUCUUCGCCAAGAAGCAACCCUGGCCAAAUCGCCACGCCAACCGACCAAAUCGCAGGGGCAUUUAAUGCAAAGGUGGCCUGACACCUUUAUCCUGACGCACGUCCUCCAGUCGACAGAGCCGAAGUGACCGCAGUCACUUCGCCGCUCCACUAACUAACCUGACAGAAGGACAGCGCCGCCUGCGCCGCUCCGACUGCUGUGCCACUCGACAGAGUGAGGCUGACAGGCAGCCAGGCCCGACCUCAGGCACCGUAGGAAACUCCGCUUCGCCCGACCCAGGGCUCGGACUCGGGCUCAGCCCCGGAAGACGGCGAACUCCGCUCCGCCCGACCCAGGGCUCGGACUCGGGCUCAGCCCUGGAAGACGGCGAACUCCGCUCCGCCCGACCCAGGGCUCGGACUCGGGCUCAGCCCCGGAAGACGGCGAACUCCGCUCUGCCCGACCCAGGGCUCGGACUCAGGCUCAGCCCCGGAAGACGACGAACUCCGUUCCGCCCGACCCCAGGGCUCGGACUCAGCCCUGGCCUCAGCCGACGGUCUCCGCCUCGCCCGACCCAGGGGCUCGGACUCGACCUCGGCCUCGGAAAACAGACUCGACCUCGACCUCGGAGGAGCCUCCACAUCGCCCAACCUAGGGCACGGACCAACCACGUCAACAGGGGGCGCCAUAAUUACCCUACCCCAAGCUGACUCAGGCUACGGGAAACAAGACCAGUGUCCCAUCUGGCUCGCUCCGCCAGACAUGUAAUGAUGGCGCCCCGCACGCUCUAUGACGACGGCAGCUCUCAGCCCCCUUACGGAAGCAAGAAGACGUCAGCAAGGACUCGAUAGCUCUGACAGCUGUCCUUCCGCCAGGCUCCAGCGCUCCUCCGACGGCCACGACACCACACGAACCGGGUGCCAAAACCUCUCUGGCUGCCACGAUGGCAUGUACUUAGGGCGCUAGCUCUCCUCCACUAGACACGUUAGCACUCUGCUACACCCGCCCAUUGUACACCUGGAUCCUCUCCUUACGCCUAUAAAAGGAAGGACCAGGGCCCUCUUACAGAGGGUUGGUCGCACGGGGAAGAGGACGGGACAGGCGCUCGCGUGAGGCCGCUCGCUCCCUCCCGUGUGGACGCUUGUAACCCCCUACUGCAAGCGCACUCGACCUGGGCGCGGGACAAACACAAAGGCCGCGGGAUUUCCACCUCUCACGCCCGUCUCCUCCCCCCUUUGCGCUCCGUCUCGCGCCGACCCAUCUGGGCUGGGGCACGCGGCGACAUUUCACUCGUCGGUCCAGGGACCCCCCGGUCUCGAAAUGCCGACAGUUGGCGCGCCAGGUAGGGGCCUGCUGCGUGUUGACGAACAGCUUCCCGACAAGCUCCAGAUGGGCAGUCUCCAGCAACCUUUCCAGCCCGGGACGGUGCUCUAUUUCGGGAGUCUUGAGUUCAUGUCCCUCGGCGGCAGCUACGACAUGAUACUCCUUCCCCCGCCGUGCGACAGCGACAAUGGCGGCCGACAGCCCGCUCGCCGGCGGCGGAAUCGACGACGUCUUCCCCGCGUGGUGGAAGAACAACUCUCGAGCUCACCCCGUCCCCUCCCCCGUCGACGGAGGAGGAGGCGGGGCGACCAAGGCCAAGCAGGAGGCGGCACCUCGUCGGCUGUCGAGCGAGUCGACGGCGCCGGCGCCCCAACGGGGGGCACGUCGAGCAUCGACCUCGCGUCUGAGACGAAGACGAGCGCCGUCUCCCUGCAACACGCCAAUCCCAAGCAAACGGACGACGCCAGCACGCUCGCGAAAGGCUUGCUGGGCGUCACCCUCGUACCUGAGACGACGGCGCAGUCAGUCCCUGACGUGACUACGUCACCGCCCGUCGACCAAGAGGUACCCACCGAUUCCCAUCUCAUGCCUUUCGGAUUCAGCCUCGACCCGCCAAGCGGCUUCGCUUUGGCGAGCGCUCUCGUAGAGGCGAGUCCAAACACUCUGGGGUAUCGUAUGCGGUCACCCUGGGACCGGCUGACGGACGUCUCGACCUAUGGGCCCUCGGAGUCCGAGGAAGAUGACGAGCCCGACUUCUGUUGGGACUUCUCCGAACUUGGUAACCCCAGUGCCAUGCGGGACUUCAUGACCGCAUGUGACUACUGCCUUUCCGACUGUUCUGACGGUAGCCGCAGCCUCGGCAACGAGGACUGCGGCCCAAGUCGUGAAUGUUUCCACGUCGAUCUAGGGGGUCCCUCCGAAGGCAACCAUCUUGGUAUGCCAGAGAACGGUGAUCUCCCUAGGCCUGUGCCUCGCGUUGACAUCCUACGGGAGCUAGCUGUGGUCCCCGUUCCGGCGGGGGGUCAUGACCCACAUCUCGAGCAAAUCCGCGGGGUGCAGGCCAGGCUCGACGAGGGAGCAGGAGCACUUGAGCCGAUCCACCGGGACGUCGGGCAGGAAUGGGCGGGCCUACCUCCGGCCGGAGAAAUGCGUCAUCCACCCCAGGGUAUCCAGCACCGCAUCGCCGACGAUGCCAGGGUAAGGCCGCCACCCACUUCCAGUGGAGUCGGCCAGAACCUGGCUGAAGCGGCAAUGCUUCUCCGCGUGAUGCCGGAGCCAUCAACCACCGAGGGGCGGCGAAUUCAGGGAGAGCUCAAGAAUCUCCUGGAGGACGCCGCGGUCCGACGGGUCGAAAGCUCCGCCUCCCGAAGGCAGGGGUACCCCUCGGAACACCGCGUCGCGACUUCCCGAUUCAUGCUGUAACACCCCAGGUGUUACUCAGGGUGUCCACCCAGGGCUACCCCUUUUAACCUAUUAUCACAUGAGGGUUGAAUUGGGCAAAGUACAUCAAACUUGGAAUUCAAAGUCCUAAGCAAGUGCAAACCAUCUUGGAUAUCAUGCCCUAGCUUGUCAUGCACAUCUAAGUGGGGAAUUUCCCAAAACCCUAAAGCAAACCCCUCUUGGGCAAUAGGAACCAUAAUUGAAGCUAGGAUCAAAAGGUCAUGUAAACCUUAUGAUCAUGGCUUGGGCCAAAUAUAAAAGUUGUAGUAUGCUUCAUAACCUACAAAUAAUAGUAAGGAAGUACCCCCAAAAAGUUUUCAGAAAAGCCCCAAAAAGUUCACCCAAGGUUGAGCACAAGGGAAAAUUCAGAAUUUGCCUAAGUCUAAAAACUAACCCUUGAACAAAGAUCCCACAUGUUCACCUUAAUCCAAAAUUCAAAACACUUCGACCCAAUUGACAAAGUGGCGCCAAAUUAACCCUAGAAUGCCCUGGAAAGAGGUGACACCUACCCUAGGGUGUUUGACACGACUUGACACCUUUUUUGUCUCGGCUCGGACCUAGCUGACACAGCCAACUUCUCAUCCCUCUAUCUCCCUACCCCGACCAUAUCUUGACUUGGAACUCACAGCAAAAAGGUAGGAUAUGGAGCAGGGAAGCGACAGUACACAAUGACUUUGCCAAGAUACGCACGCUAUGGUGCUCAAAUCCGUCGUUGAACCAUGGCAGAAGCGAGCUCCCACAUGUUCGACGCGGGCUGACAUCCGGGGGCGCGCUCAGAGCACGCCCGUGCGCGAACCCCCGCGCGCCCGCGACCGCCCGUGACCAUGCCCGCGCCACGGCUAUAAAGCCCGUCCCAGUGCUCGGCUGCCUUCCUUGUUGCCUCCUCCGUACCUCGCCUGACUUUCCCGAGCCAUCCCUUAGCUCCGGCGACCUCCCCGCGACCCGCCAGUGCCACCCGAGAGCAACCAUCGUGGCCAGCCCCUUUCCCGUCCUCCUCCGUUCGAUCCAAGCCUUCAGAUAGCUUCCUGGUGAGGCCGUGAAGCUUACUCAAGCUUGAACCGAGGACCCGCGUCACCGGAAUAGCGAAACCGUGCUCGCCGGAGUUCUUUCCCCCGCCGGCGCACGUGGACUGGAUAAUCCGCUCAACCAUUUUCCGAUUCCUCGUGCACACAGUCUCUACGUUACCCCAUGAAGCUCACAGUGCCCUUGGAUUGAACCAGAUCGUCGUGGUUUGGCCGAUACACUCGCCGCCGACGAGAAUACCCGCCUGCGCGCGUGGACCAAGCGAUUCCGGCCAUCCCCGCCGUCGAGCCGCACCUCGCUGUGACCGCCAGAGCCUCCCCGAGCCAACCCUGCCCUUCGCCGGACCUAUCUCGCCGCCGGUAAGCCGCGCCACCCUUUUCUUUCUCGCGGGUACUGUUUACAUUGGAGGAAGGACUGCGGGUGAGAGGAAGAGAAGGUCAGGGGGCUUUUUGAACUGUCAGCGACCCAGGGGAAUAGUGGCGCAAGGGUAGAACUGCGAAGAUUGAUUUAGUUUAAACCCAGAGACCUCGGUGUAAACUGUUUUUCCAGGAAACUCUUAUUAAAUCUGUUUUUAAUUUGAACAGAAACUUUAAAAACUCAUAACUUCUGUUUAGUUCAUCCAAAUUUGGUCAAACCAAUUUUGCCAGACUCUAAUUAAUGUGACCUACUUAAGAAAAAUAUAAAACCCCCUAGGUACUAUAGAAAACUUUAAGGUUCUGAUUUAAUUAUAGUUUUAGCCAAAAGCUCAAUAAUAGAAAGAAAAAUAGUUGUACUAUUUGGCUAGGGUUAAAAAAAUUUGGAGAAGUUUAUAUCUACCUACUGACCUGUUUAAAAAUGUUAAACCUCUCUGUCCACCCCAUUAAGUUAGUUUUUGCCCCUUGUUUUGCAAAAUGCUUAAGGUUAAGGAAAAUAUAAAAUGUGAGUUAAAUAGUGAACCAGAGGACACCCCUAUUUUUGUUAGGAUCCUUAUUCAAUGUAGUUCACUGGAAAAAUCUAUCAUACCCUGGUUUAGUAUAAAAUAAGUAGAAUACCUUUUAAUUGAAUAAAACAAGGAUAACUUAGAAAACCCCUACAAAAAUAACCCCAAGGUGAAAACACCCCCACCCUUGGGAUAGCUAAUGUUUUGUUAUUAAGAACUUAGGAAAAAUAUGAGAUCUGCUGUUUGACAUUUUUCAAAUAACAAUGUAGUAGAAAGUGCCUUUUUGACAUUAAACUUUAGAAAAUCAUAACUAAAUAACCACCCCUUAGCUUUCUGUGGUUUUUGGCACAGAAGCCUAUUAUUACUGUUAGAUGCCAACAAAAAUAACCUUUAAGACAGACCCCACCUCUAAUUGAGAGUUGUAGUACAAAGUGGCCCAUUUACCCAACCUUUAUUAUUUUUGUCUAAGGCAUAGCCUUUUUAUUUUUGAACCUCAACUUCCUAGAAGGGGCUAUAAUAACCAAUGGCAACCCACUGUAAUUUUUACAGAAUUUUUGGAGAAGAUUAACCUACUGUUGUAGUUCAAACCCCCACUAGAAUUCAUAAAUAGAAAUUAAAGAAAGGAAAAUGAAUAAUGAAAAUUAGUGUCAUCCUAAAACCCUUGCAAAGUAUCCACUGAAAUAUAUAAAGGCAAUACAAAUCCACUAUGUUUAUCCUCAACAAAAAUCUAAACCUAGGAGUGAUAAGCAUAAACCACUAAAGGCCCCGUAUGACCAAGCAAACCCUAAGUUACUUCUUGACUUAGUUUCUUUUUAGCAUAAUGUUAUUAAAUCCUGCAUAAUCAUGACAUACAUGUUCAUUGCAUUCGAUAGACUGUAACCUUGCUGACGGAGAGUACGUCCUCGUGCCGGAGCAAGGAGCUGCUCAGGAGGUAGCCCCA